rfam:Takifugu rubripes genomic scaffold, scaffold_708
UGAACGGCUCUUUUCAGAGCCACAAUCCGACUAACGGGGCAGGUU